GUUCCUGUGGGAGCUCAGUUGGUUAGAGCGUGGUGCUGAUAAUGCCAAGGUUGCAGGUUCGAUCCCUGUAUGGGGCA